AACGCACAUUGCACUCUCUGGAAUUCUGGGGAGUAUGCCUGUUCGAGCGUCAUUUCACCUCUCAAGUCUGACUUGGUAUUGGAAUUCAUCUGCAAAGGUGUUUCCGAAAAAUAGUGGCGAUUUCUGUAUGACUUCAAGCGCAGUGAAAUUUUUCGCCUUGAUAGCCUAUGGAAUUCUGCCAACAACACAAUCUAUAAUUUGACCUCGGAUCAGGUAGGGAUACCCGCUGAACUUAA
rnacentral:misc_RNA from 1 species